CCCUUAGAUGUUCUGGGCAGCACGCGCGCUACAAUGGUCUUCGCAAUCGGAUGCAUUCUCGAAGGAGAAUGCCAAUCUUGGAAUCUAUGCCUUGGUCGGGACAGUUGCUUGCAAUUUUUCGACUCGAACCAGGAAUUCCUUGUAAUCGUGAUUCAUCACAUCACGAUGAAUACGUCCCUGCCCUUUGUACACACCGCCCGUCGCUCCUACCGAUCGAAGAGUUAGGUGAAUUGUUUUGAUCGAUAAGAUUUGACUAUGGUCAACUCUCGUUGUGAAAUUCUGUGAAUCUGACUGUUUAGAGGAAGGAAAAGUCGUAACA
rnacentral:rRNA from 1 species